rnacentral:rRNA from 1 species
UACGUAGGGACCGAGCGUUGUCCGGAAUCAUUGGGCGUAAAGAGCGUGUAGGCGGCCACUUAAGUCCUGCGUGAAAUCUUGCGGCUCAACCGCAAGCGGUCGUGGGAAACUGGGUGGCUAGAGUGCGGGAGAGGAGAGUGGAAUUCCUGGUGUAGCGGUGGAAUGCGCAGAUAUCAGGAAGAACACCCGUGGCGAAGGCGGCUCUCUGGAACGCAACUGACGCUGAGAAGCGAAAGCGUGGGGAGCAAACAGG